GACGAACGCUGGUGGCGUGCUUAACACAUGCGAGUCGAACGGGAUUUAGUAAACAGAAGCCUCGGUGGAAGAUUACUAAUGAGAGUGGCGAACGGGUGAGUAACGCGUGAGCAACCUGCCUAUGACAGUGGGAUAGCCUCGGGAAACCGGGAUUAAUACCGCAUAAAAUCGUAGAAACACAUGUUUUAACGGUCAAAGAUUUAUCGGUCAUAGAUGGGCUCGCGUCUGAUUAGCUAGUUGGUGAGAUAACAGCCCACCAAGGCGACGAUCGGUAGCCGGUCUGAGAGGAUGAACGGCCACAUUGGAACUGAGACACGGUCCAAACUCCUACGGGAGGCAGCAGUGGGGAAUAUUGCACAAUGGGGGAAACCCUGAUGCAGCGACGCCGCGUGAACGAAGAAGGUAUUCGUAUCGUAAAGUUCUGUCCUAUGGGAAGAUAAUGACAGUACCAUAGAAGAAAGCUCCGGCUAAAUACGU
rnacentral:rRNA from 1 species